CCUACGGGAGGCAGCAGUGAGGAAUAUUGGUCAAUGGACGAGAGUCUGAACCAGCCAAGUAGCGUGCAGGAUGACUGCCCUAUGGGUUGUAAACUUCUUUUAUAUAGGAAUAAAAUGUUCCACGUGUGGGAUUUUGUAUGUACUAUAUGAAUAAGGAUCGGCUAACUCCGUUCCAGCAGCCGCGGUAAUACGGAGGAUCCGAGCGUUAUCCGGAUUUCUUGGGUUUAAAGGGAGCGUAGCUGGAUUGUUAAGUCAGUUGUGAAAGUUUGCGGCUCAACCGUAAAAUUGCAGUUGAAACUGGCAGUCUUGAGUACAGUAGAGGUAGGCGGAAUUCGUGGUGUAGCGGUGAAAUGCUUAGAUAUCACGAAGAACUCCGAUUGCGAAGGCAGCUCACUGGACUGCAACUGACACUGAGGCUCGAAAGUGUGGGUAUCAAACAGGAUUAGAUACCCGGGUAGUC
rnacentral:rRNA from 1 species